GAUGAACGCUGGCGGCGUGCCUAAUACAUGCAAGUCGAGCGAACAGACGAGGAGCUUGCUCCUCUGACGUUAGCGGCGGACGGGUGAGUAACACGUGGAUAACCUACCUAUAAGACUGGGAUAACUUCGGGAAACCGGAGCUAAUACCGGAUAAUAUAUUGAACCGCAUGGUUCAAUAGUGAAAGACGGUUUUGCUGUCACUUAUAGAUGGAUCCGCGCCGCAUUCGCUAGUUGGUAAGGUAACGGCUUACCAAGGCAACGAUGCGUAGCCGACCUGAGAGGGUGAUCGGCCACACUGGAACUGAGACACGGUCCAGACUCCUACGGGAGGACGCAGUAGGGAAUCUUCCGCAAUGGGCGAAAGCGUGACGGAGCAACGCCGCGUGAGUGAUGAAGGUCUUCGGAUCGUAAAACUCUGUUAUUAGGGAAGAACAAAUGUGUAAGUAACUAUGCACGUCUUGACGGUACCUAAUCAGAAAGCCACGGCUAACUACGUG
rnacentral:rRNA from 1 species